rnacentral:rRNA from 1 species
CUGGAAUAACACGAGGAAACUUGUGCUAAUACUGGAUAAGUCUUUACGGAGAAAGCUUUAUGCACCAUUGGAUGAGCCCGCACUUGAUUAGUUUGUUGGUGGGGUAAUGGCCUACCAAGACUGUGAUCAAUAGCUGAUUUGAGAGGAUGAUCAGCCACAUUGGGACUGAGACACGGCCCAAACUCCUACGGGAGGCAGCAGUGGGGAAUCUUGCACAAUGGAGGAAACUCUGAUGCAGCGAUGCCGCGUGAGUGAAGAAGGCCUUUGGGUUGUAAAGCUCUUUCGUCGGGGAAGAAAAUGACUGUACCCGAAUAAGAAGGUCCGGCUAACUUCGUGCCAGCAGCCGCGGUAAAACGAAGGGACCUAGCGUAGUUCGGAAUUACUGGGCUUAAAGAGUUCGUAGGUUGUUGAAAAAGUUGGUGGUGAAAUCCCAGAGCUUAACUCUGGAACUGCCAUCACAACUUUUCAGCUAGAGUGUGAUAGAGGAAAGCAGAAUCUCUAGUGUAGAGGUGAACUGCGUAGAUCUGAGAAAGAAUACCAAUUGAGAAGGGCAGCUUUCUGGAUCAUUACUGACACUGACGAACGCACGCUGGGUAGCGACGAGGAUUCGAUACCCUCGUCGUCCAUGCCGCAAACGAUGUGUGUACGACGGUGGCA